UACGUAGGGUGCAAGCGUUAAUCGGAAUUACUGGGCGUAAAGCGUGCGCAGGCGGUUGUGUAAGACAGGUGUGAAAUCCCCGGGCUUAACCUGGGAAUUGCAUUUGUGACUGCACGACUAGAGUGUGUCUGAGGGGGGUGGAAUUCCACGUGUAGCAGUGAAAUGCGUAGAUAUGUGGAGGAACACCAAUGGCGAAGGCAGCCCCCUGGGAUAACACUGACACUGAGGUGCGAAAGCGUGGGGAGCAAACAGG
rnacentral:misc_RNA from 1 species